rnacentral:lncRNA from 1 species
UCUCUGCCGCUGGCGUGGGGGCGGGGGCCGGGGACAGUGUCUUCAGCAAAAGUCUGCGGAUAAAAAGGCCCCGCCCCUGUCCGGACAGCAGGCAUGGGAGAGCCGCCUCCUCCCCCAGCCCCAUGGAGCAGGGCAGAAACGCUGCCCACUGCCCUGCUCCUGCCACCAGGAAGGGCGUGUGGGGGGCCACUUUCUGUAAAGAAGAAACCUCCUGAGCAACAAGUGGCUCAAGGCACCCUUGUCUAACGACCAGGGACACUGAGCGCCACGGCCCAAGUCACCAGCAAGAGAAAACCCAGGCGGAGCCCAGGGUGUCCCCCACUGCCCACCAGCCACUGCGGUCAACGUGAAGGGCAAGGGUGCAAGCGGGAUCGCGUCACAGGGAGCCGAGUGCGCCCAGAAAAGUAGGAGAAGGACGUUUCCACCCACCUGGAGCGCAGUCCGUUUGCAGCCGGCGGCAGAAUGCUGCUGUCUCCAUAAAUAAAGUCCAUGUUAGCCACCUAGAGGAUAAAAUACCACGAGGAGGAGUAGCAAGGUGCCCCUGUUGACAGAUCUUGAAGCAGAAGCUCACUCCCAGAAGCACAGCUGCCUAGUCAACAAACAGCUGACAAUACAUGUCUGAAGGAGCUCAGCUGGGAACAGAAUGGCCCCACUGAGCCUAGCCUAAAUGGCUGACCAUCUCAAUUAUGAGCUAAUAAGUUUUGGAUGAUUUGUUAUGCUGCCAUACCUAACUAAUACAUGCACCCAGUGCAGAUUGGGUGCCAAGAUUUAAAGACAGUUUGAUUACUAGUCACCUUCUAACAGUGGGCACCCUAAAGGUACUGACAUUUUUCCCGAUUUAAAGUUAAAUCUCUUGUAAGGCAAUGUUGACUAAUGCAGGAAUACUUGUAGACAUGUAUGCAUGUGAUUGGUGCUUAUAUGCACACAGUCCCCCGCACCACAGGAAAAAAACAAAAACGAGAGCCUGACCAUUAUGGCCACGGCCAAAUAGCCAAAGUUUGCCUUUAAUCUAUUUUCUUCAUAUCUAAAAAUUGGAGGUCAAUACUGUGGACAGGUCUGAAGACAUAGAGUUUUGUUCUCCUGUGGCCCCAUCAUUCUUCAGUGGUCUACCUGUGGUUAUUUUGUUCUUGUUACCUUCUGCUCUUUCUAUGACCACUAUCUGUUCCACCCUUGGAA